UGUGACAGCCGUAUCAUCCUGCAGCACAAGACCAGUUACUCAGUGAAGCUAAGCAGGGCUGAGCCUGGUUAGUACCUGGAUGGGAGACCACAUGGGAAAACUAAGUUGCUGUUGGAA
ensembl:rRNA 5S_rRNA 5S ribosomal RNA